CCUGUAUGAAGUCGGAAUUGCUAGUAAUCGCGGAUCAGCAUGCCGCGGUGAAUACGUUCCCGGGCCUUGUACACACCGCCCGUCACACCAUGAGAGUUGGCAACACCCGAAGUCAGUAGCCUAACCGCAAGGGGGGCGCUGCCGAAGGUGGGGUUGAUGAUUGGGGUGAAGUCGUAACAAGGUAGC
rnacentral:rRNA from 1 species